GCCAUCUAUCGGUAGUUGAGCAUCCUUCAUUUCGCUAGCUUUAGACGCCUGUCUUCUGCGAUUUCUGCAACUUACCACCGUAUGAAAAAGCUACAUCUGUCCACACAGAAAAUUGCAUCUCAACAAACCUGUCAUUGGUACCCGAACUACAUUUCAGUCACUCAGUAAAGUGAUAACUCAAAAUAUCAUUGUCAGCAGAUCUGGAGAAAUUGCCACUGCGUCUUUAGACCGUUUUCGUCAGACGAGAGACACAGUUCUGGUUGCUGUACGUAUCUAUCCACAUCAAGGCUGUUGGGAGAGACUCGUGAAGAUUCAAGAGAGCUCUUACAGGAUUUGCAGUUUAAAAGUGACAUUAUUGCGAAAUAAGUGUGCGGAUGAGUGAUUAAACUGUGUUUUAUUGAAGUUGUUGUGCGAUUUUAAAGGAAUAAUAAAUGUUAAAUACA